CAGUCAUCCAACAACAAGAGUUAUUCAUCCAGCACACGCCAUGAGCUCUGCUGGGGCUGCUCCUGGGAGGAGGGGCUGUUGGGAAUGAAUGCUGUGCUGUUGCUGCCAAUCCUGGAAUGAAGUGAGACUCCCCUCCCCAGCCUCCUGACAGAGUCAUCUCAUUUCUACUUUGAAAAAUUAAAGAACAAAGUUCAAAAUGGAUUUUGCAUAUGGAAAGAUGAAAUCACUUGCAUCCAUACAAAUUUAUCAGGGCUGUGUGAGAAUGAUCUGAAGAGAUACCAAAAAGCACAGCAGGCUUACACAUAGGCAGCGGCCACAUCUGGGGAAGCGUGUGUGGACGUGGAGCUGCCACAAGAUCAGCACCUCCUGGAGUGAUCGGCUGAGCCCAGAGGAGGUGG
rnacentral:lncRNA from 10 species